GUAGGUGAACCUGCGGAAGGAUCAUUAACAAAAUCUACAACAUUAACCCUGUUGAACUGUUAGGCAAGGCAAAGGGGUCCUUCUCUUCCCAUCUCUACUACUAGUAAUAGAGGGAGGGAGGGAGGAGGGGGAGGGUAGACGGUCAAAGGACACAAUGAGAGGACCACCAUCAGCACCCCUUAGGGGGGAGCCAGAUGGUCGCCGCAUCUCUGGCCUUUGGUCUGCCUGGGCUCUUUGCCUUGCUGUGCCU
rnacentral:misc_RNA from 1 species